GUGGGGAAUUUUGGACAAUGGGCGCAAGCCUGAUCCAGCAAUGCCGCGUGCAGGAAGAAGGCCUUCGGGUUGUAAACUGCUUUUGUACGGAACGAAACGGUCCUGGCUAAUACCCGGGGCUAAUGACGGUACCGUAAGAAUAAGCACCGGCUAACUACGUGCCAGCAGCCGCGGUAAUACGUAGGGUGCGAGCGUUAAUCGGAAUUACUGGGCGUAAAGCGUGCGCAGGCGGUGCUGUAAGACAGGCGUGAAAUCCCCGGGCUCAACCUGGGAAUUGCGAUUGUGACUGCAGUGCUGGAGUGCGGCAGAGGGGGAUGGAAUUCCGCGUGUAGCAGUGAAAUGCGUAGAUAUGCGGAGGAACACCGAUGGCGAAGGCAAUCCCCUGGGCCUGCACUGACGCUCAUGCACGAAAGCGUGGGGAGCAAACAGGAUUAGAAACCCGGGUAGUCC
rnacentral:rRNA from 1 species